rnacentral:tRNA from 1 species
UGAUUCAUAGCUCAGUUGGUAGAGCGUCGCACUGUUAAUGCGAAUGUCGUAGGUUCGAGUCCUACUGGGUCAG